rnacentral:rRNA from 1 species
AGAGUUUGAUCCUGGCUCAGAAUCAACGCUGGCGGCGUGCCUAACACAUGCAAGUCGCACGAGAAAGAGGGGGCAACUCCUUGAGUAAAGUGGCGUACGGGUGAGUAACACGUGACUAACCUACCUCCGAAUGGGGAAUAACACCGGGAAACCGGUGCUAAUACCGCAUAACAUCUACGGAUCAAAGCAGCAAUGCGUUU